AGAUCUCCAUCUUUUUGUUACCUUUUGCAUUUAAUUGCACUGCAUGCCCAAGUGGCUGCAGUACUCGAGCUCAGCAAGAGCGGUUUCCUUGUUCCCUGGGUCACGUAUUCGGUGUGUAUGGCCGUCAUCACGACCACCGUCUACCACUCUAUUUGGCAGGUUUGGCGCUCCAGCAGCGGUCUCCCGCCCAGCUGUGGCACAAAUCCGCCCCCGAUGUGACAGUCUCCAUGGGUCAUGAGGACAGGCCUCUUCCUCCCCGUCCCAGGCUGUUCCGGGGGUGGUCACAAGGAGCCAGGUAAGUGCUUCGAUGUCCUUAGACUCAGCAUGGCCACGACGUGGUGUGGCACCUCGAGCCCUGCCGCGAGGCCCCACCUGCUGGUACGUCCGAUGACGUUGUCCCUUUGGUCCCCCUUGCACAGAACUUGGACGCAUGGCUUGCACUUUCCAAUCUGUCGCGAGGGCUGGUCCAGGCCGUCCGACUCGGCUGUGCGAUUCACUUCGCCGGGCAUCCGCCCAGGUUCAGCGGUGUCCACUUCACCUUGGUGAAAGACGAAAAUGCUGCCACCUUGCGCGGAGAUCACUACCCUCAUCCGGAAGGGCGCGAUAGAACCUGUCCCUCCAGCUGAGAUGAAGAAGGGGUUUUUCUGCCCCUACUUUAACGUACCAAAAAAAAGGCAGUGGGUUGAGGCCAAUCUUGGACCUGUGAGUUCUGAACUAGGCUUUAAACAGACUCCCGUUCAAGAUGCUGACGCAAAAACGCAUUCUGGCAAGUGUCCGGCAUCAGGAUUGGUUCGCGGCGGCAGACCUGAAGGAUGCGUACUUCCAUGCCUCGAUCCUUCCUCGACACAGACCCUUCCUGCGGUUCGCGUUCGAGGGUCAGGCGUAUCAGUACAAAGUCCUCCCUUUCGGCCUGUCCCUGUCUCCUCGGGUCUUUACGAAGGUCGCAGAGGCUGCCAUUGCCUCUCGAGAUGUGUUGUGUGCACACAGGGACCUGGUGCUCUCACACCUCAGCCGACUAGGGCUUUGGGUCAACUGGGAAAAGAGCAAGCUCCUCCCCGGUUCAGAUCAUCUCUUUUCUCGGUUUGGAGUUGGACUCCGUCUCCUUGACGGCGCACCUUACGAACGAGCGCGCCCAGUCGGUGCUGGCCUGUUUGAAGGCGUUCAAACAGGGAACAGCGUUUCAACUGAAACUUUUUCAGAGGCUCCUGGGACAUAUGGCAUCCUCUGCGGUGGCCACCCCGCUCGGGUUGAUGCAUAUGAGGCCGCUUCAGCACUAUCUCCAGACUCGAGUCCCGAGACGGCCAUGGUGCCAUGGGACACACCGCGUGGCCAUUACGUUGGUCUGUCACCAUCUUUUCAGCCCUUGGACUGACCUCUCGUUCCUACAGGCAGGUGUUCCUCUAGAACUGGUCCUCAGGCGCGUCGUGGUCACGACAGACGCCUCCAAAACGGGCUGGGGCGCUGUUUGCAAUGGGCAUGCAGUCGCCAGCCUCUGGACGGGUCCGCGACUGCAUUGGCAUGUCAACUGCCUCGAGUUGUUGGCAAUUCUGCUCGCCCUGCGGAGGUUUCGGCCGUUGAUCCAGGGCAAGCACGUGCUAGUUCAGACAGACAACACGACAACGGUAGCAUAUGUCAACCACCAAGGUGGUUUGCGCUCUCGUUGUAUGUCACAACUCGCCUGCCAUCUCCUCCUCUGGAGUCAGCAGCACUUCAAGUCGCCGCAAGCCACUCACAUCCCGGGCAACCUCAACACUACAGCGGACGCGCUUUCACAACAGGUUACCCUCAGGGGAGAGUGGAGACUCCACCUUCAGGUGGUCCAGCUGAUUUGGAGUCGAUUCGACAGGCACAGGUGCACCUGUUCGCCUCCCAAGAAUCCUCCCCACUGCCCGCUCUGGUACGCCCUGACCGAGGCCCCCCUCGGCAUAGACGCGCUGGCACACAGCUGGCCCCCUGGCAUUCUCAAAUAUGCAUUUCCCCCAUUGAGCCUGCUUGCACAGACCCUGUGCAUGGUCAGGGAGGACGAGGAGCAGGUCAUCUUGGUAGCACCCUACUGGCCCACCCAGACGUGGUGCUCGGACCUCACGCUCCUUGCGACAGCUCCCCCCUGGCGAAUUCCCCUGAGGAAGGACCUUUCUCAGGGAAGGGGCACCAUCUGGCACCCGCGUCCAGACCUCUGGAAUCUCCAUGUCUGGCCCCUGGAUGGGAUGCGGAAGACCUAAGCUGUCUCCCACCUGCAGUGGUAGACAUGAUCACUCAGGCUAGGGCUCCCUCUACGAGGCGCCUGUAUGCCUUUAAGUGGCGUCUGUUCGCUAAGUGGUGUUCUUCCCGUCGGGAAGACCCCCAGAGAUGCGCAGUCGGAUCAGUGCUUUCCUUCCUGCAAGAGAGGUUGGAAGGGAGGCUGUUCCCUUCCACCUUGAAGGUGUACGUUGCUGCCAUAGCAGCACACCACGACACAGUCGACGGUAAGUCCUUAGGGAAGCACGACCUGAUCAUCAUGUUCCUAAGAGGCGCCAGGAGGCUGAAUCCCUCCAGACCACACCUCGUUCCCUCAUCGGACCUCUGUAUUUCUUCAGGGUCUACAGAGAGCCCCCUUUGAGCCUUUGCAGUCAGCUGAGCUUAAGGCACUCUCCUUGAAGACUGCCCUCCUGACUGCGCUCACUUCCAUCAAGAGGGUAGGUGACCUGCAAGCGUUCUCUGUCAGCGAAACGUGCCUGGAGUUCGACCCAGGUUACUCUCACGUGAUCCUGAGACCCUGACCGGGCUAUGUGCUCAAGGUUCCCACCACCCCUUUAGGGACUAGGUGGUGAACCUGCAAGCGCUGCCCCAGGAGGAGGCAGACCCAGCCCUGUCGUCGCUGUGUCCGGUGCACGCUUAUGCAUCUAUUUGGAUCGCACGCAGAGCUUUAGAAUCUCUGAGCAGCUCUUUGUCUGCUUUGGUGCACAGCGGAAAGGAAGCGCUGUCUCCAAGCAGAGGAUCGCCCACUGGCUCAUUGACGCCAUAACUAUGGCAUAUGUCGCCUAGGACAUGCCGCCCCCGGUAGGGCUACCAGCCCAUUCUACCAGUGGUGUAAUGGCUCCCUGGGCCCUGGCCAGGGGUGCCUCUCUAACAGACAUUUGCAGAGCAGCGGGCUGGGCAACACCUGACACCUGUGCAAGGUUCUACAACCUCCGGGUGGAACCAGUUUCGUCCCAGGUAGUGGCACGCAACACAAGCGGAUAAGCCCGGGAUAGCUGGCCAGGUGUAUCGCUUGCACAUAGCGCCUUCCACCUCCCUUUGAGCUGAAUACGUGUGCCAUUAAUUCCCAGUAGUGUUCACAAACUUUGUUCCCUGGUUGACUUCCUCCGAGCCAUGUGGCAGUCGAGUUUUUGGAGAGACUCGCUGCUGGCCCAGUACAUGCACUAACUAAGAGCCCUGUUCUGGGGUAGGUGCUCCGCAUGUGGCGGUUCCCUGUAAGGCUAACCCCAUGCGAUCUAUAUCUUCCGAUAGUUCAUUUCUCUGCUGGCAAACUGCAUCUUCCUUGGGCAGAGCCCCUCUGCCCCAGUCUCCAUGUUUGUAGUAACUCCUCCCCCAUUGGGCAGGAUCUACCUUGAAGGCUCUCCACAUGGUUGGAAAGACCAUGUGAUGUAUUCUUCCACUUAAAUAUCCCCCCCUCUCUUUGGGUGAGGUGUGGUCUCCGUGGUGUCUUCCCCUUCGGAGGGACACCCCCCGACUAGACCUGGCGGCCCAGUUGGAUAAUAAAAAGAGAAGGGGGAAAAGAGGCCACGACUGGGUUAAGCCUGUCUCUAUCUUUGGGUAGUCAACUUGUCCCAAAAAAGGGCCGUUCGACACUCAUAACUGUGUCGGGGGAGGUUACGUGUCGACCUGGUGUGCUGGCUAUGAGGCACACAGCAAGUCUGCCCACCACACACCGCCAGUUCACGUGACACAGUUCAGCCUUGUGGCGUUUUGUAUAGGGACCCCUAGUGUCACUACAUCGACACCAACGUCAAGUGAGUGACAGAUAGGGAACGUCAUGGUUACACCACCAGUAACCAUGAUGUUUCUUUCUGUUAACAUGGCCUUCUCUAUAGGUGUCAUGUCUGCCAUGUACCUCUGCAGGGGAGUAUCAGGAGCUCAUCUAAACCCGGCUGUGUCUGGGUUUCUGUGUGUUGGGUGCUCUACCCUGGAAAAAGCUGCUACCCUACUCUCUGGCUAAAUUUUUGGGAGGUUACCUCGCCUCUGGGAUUGUCUAUCUCAUCUACCGUGGUAAGAAUAGGGACUGAAAGAGAUACACAUGGUUAGGAGGGUUACUUUUGAAAUGUAUUUCACUACAGAUUACAGAAUACAUGCUGUAAAAUGAAUUUUCCGUUAGUAUUCCGUUAGAUUACUCAAGGUCAAUAACGUAUUUUAAAUACUUUGGAUUACUAAUCACUGGUAGAUUUUUUUUCACUUGUUUUGACUAUAAAAACUCUGCUAGUACAGUAAGACAAAAUACACAUGUUAAAAAUACAUUCUCUGACAAACCAAAAUAUCUUCUGCAGUGUUGUUUCUAAAACAAGAUAAAUCAAAUUAAUCUUGUUUUAAGGAUUUUUUGAUAUUUUUUACAGGAAAACAAUACAAAAAUUAUCAAGAAUAUGAUUUUUGCCCUAAUAUCAAAGGGCUUACUAGAAAAAAAGAAAUUAUGAUCCAACGUGAAUUUUCUUUUGAUAAAAAAAAUAUGAUCGUGUCUGGUAACGUGCAUGUAAAAUGGCUAGAAAAAGCAUUUUAGCUUAGCGUAAAGCUGACAAUUUACAUAAGGUUUAUUUCAAUUUUUUGUGCUCCAAACUUACUUCAAAUUUACUUCUCUGUCUGCUCGUAUGAAUGUAACACAUCAUAAGAAAAUGUUUCACCGCUGUUCAAAUGCACUUUGGAUCGCAUCAUUUAUAUGUAUAAAUGUUUUCCAUCUGAAAGGACUAAAUAUUAAAUGAAACAAAUGACAAUAAAAUGCAAAGUAAUCUCUUCAGUAAUCAAAUUUUUUUUGAAUGUAACUGUAUUAUAUUACCAAUGAUUUAAAUUGUAACUGUAGUGGAAUACAGUUACUUAUAUUUUGUGUUUUAAAUACAUAAUCCCAUUACAUGUAUUCCAUUACUCCCCAACCCUGGAAAUACUUAAUAUCCGCUGAAAGUAUUUGAAACCAUAAACAAACUAAAUGACCUGUCUCAACAAUCAUUUCAAGCCUCUCUCUAUGGUCUGCUCUCUAACUCUCUUCUCCACAAGAUGCAAUCAUGGAGUUCAGUGGGGGAGUUCUCACUGUAUUUGGUCCUAAUGAAAUGGCCAGUAUCUUUGACACUUACCCUACUAAUGUGGUUUCAGUGCAGACUAACUUCCUGGAUCAGGUCAGAGAAAAGGCCACUGAAUAUAAGACGAGCUCUGCCAGUGCAAGCACAGUAAAAAUACUAUAUAGUGGUUGGUACAGCCAUGCUGAUGCUGUGCAUUCUACCUUUGAAUGAUAAGAGGAACGCUCCUGCUCCUGAGUCGUUGCUCCCUCCUAUUGUAGCAACUGUUAUCCUAGGC